rnacentral:misc_RNA from 1 species
AUAAUAAUAAUAAUAAUAAUAAGGUAAGAGGGGAAGUAAGAAAUAGAGGAGGCUCACACUGAAAAACAAAGUCACCACUCUGAAUAAUGAGUUCUCAUCUUUGAGAACUUUAAUACACAUAACUAAGAAAACAAAAUGAGUGUGGUUCCUUAGUGAGAUAAUUUGGUUCAAAAUUUGGUUCAAAUCAACAUUGUAAAAGCAUAGAAGUGAAAAUGACUACAGAAAAAAAAAAUCAUCCAACAUAUACCUGUCUUCACAAAUUUAUAAGCCACAAAAAUACAUAUAGGUGCACAAAAACUUUAACUAGAAGAAUCAGCUGCAUUCCUCAGCAACAUAACAAAAUCUACAUAAAAUAAGUUAAACAGAACCAGAUGAAUCCAUCAAAAAAAUCUAAGACUCUCAACUUUUUUGAAAAGAGGGUUUUUCUAGACUGAACAAAUAUAAUGAUACUACGUGUAUAAUGAUGUUUAUCCUCUUGAUAAGAUCAGAAGGAGAGAAAAAAUAUGGAACCAUAAGGAUGCAUAAAAUUAAAAGUGCCCUCAGACAUCAAAGCUAUCGUAGGUCAUCGAGGUUGUAGUUUUCACUGAAAGCCUUCCCACAACAUCAACCCUAGUAAAGAAA